AGAGUUUGAUCCUGGCUCAGGAUGAACGCUAGCUACAGGCUUAACACAUGCAAGUCGAGGGGAAACGACAUCGAAAGCUUGCUUUUGAUGGGCGUCGACCGGCGCACGGGUGAGUAACGCGUAUCCAACCUGCCCAUCACUUGGGGAUAACCUUGCGAAAGUAAGACUAAUACCCAAUGAUAUCUCAAGAAGACAUCUGAAUGAGAUUAAAGAUUUAUCGGUGAUGGAUGGGGAUGCGUCUGAUUAGCUUGUUGGCGGGGUAACGGCCCACCAAGGCGACGAUCAGUAGGGGUUCUGAGAGGAAGGUCCCCCACAUUGGAACUGAGACACGGUCCAAACUCCUACGGGAGGCAGCAGUGAGGAAUAUUGGUCAAUGGGCGAGAGCCUGAACCAGCCAAGUAGCGUGCAGGAUGACGGCCCUAUGGGUUGUAAACUGCUUUUAUAAGGGAAUAAAGUGAGUCUCGUGAGACUUUUUGCAUGUACCUUAUGAAUAAGGACCGGCUAAUUCCGUGCCAGCAGCCGCGGUAAUACGGAAGGUCCGGGCGUUAUCCGGAUUUAUUGGGUUUAAAGGGAGCGUAGGCCGGAGAUUAAGCGUGUUGUGAAAUGUAGACGCUCAACGUCUGCACUGCAGCGCGAACUGGUUUCCUUGAGUACGCACAAAGUGGGCGGAAUUCGUGGUGUAGCGGUGAAAUGCUUAGAUAUCACGAAGAACUCCGAUUGCGAAGGCAGCUCACUGGAGCGCAACUGACGCUGAAGCUCGAAAGUGCGGGUAUCGAACAGGAUUAGAUACCCUGGUAGUCCGCACGGUAAACGAUGGAUGCCCGCUGUUGGUCUGAAUAGGUCAGCGGCCAAGCGAAAGCAUUAAGCAUCCCACCUGGGGAGUACGCCGGCAACGGUGAAACUCAAAGGAAUUGACGG
rnacentral:rRNA from 1 species